GAUGAACGCUGGCGGCGUGCUUAAUACAUGCAAGUCGAGCGAACCACUUCGGUGGUGAGCGGCGAACGGGUGAGUAACACGUAGGUGAUCUGCCCAUCAGACGGGACAACGAUUGGAAACGAUCGCUAAUACCGGAUAGGACGAAAGUUUAAAGGUGCUUCUGGCACCGCUGAUGGAUGAGCCUGCGGCGCAUUAGCUAGUUGGUAGGGUAAAGGCCUACCAAGGCGACGAUGCGUAGCCGACCUGAGAGGGUGAACGGCCACACUGGGACUGAGACACGGCCCAGACUCCUACGGGAGGCAGCAGUAGGGAAUCUUCGGCAAUGGGCGAAAGCCUGACCGAGCAACGCCGCGUGAAUGAUGAAGGCCUUCGGGUUGUAAAUUCUGUUAUAAGGGAGAACGACUUAGUAGGAAAUGGACUAGAGUGUGACGGUACC
rnacentral:rRNA from 1 species